AAGACUCUGCUCUCAGGAGAGUUUCUCUAGCUUGUCCCGGGGGAAGUGUUCCCAAGCGUGUGGAGCACCCGAGCCCCCAGGCUGCCAGAGCAUCCUCCCCUGAGAAGCUGGUUCUAGGCGCUGUUUCUGCAACCGUCUUUCACUGUUAAUGAUCCUUCUCUUCCCUUGGAAGAGGGAGAGGGAGGGAUGCAGGCUGAGUGG
rnacentral:snoRNA from 1 species